AUCCAACUGACGAGUCCCAAAUAGGACGAGAUGCGCGUCAAACUUGAU
rnacentral:hammerhead_ribozyme from 1 species